UACAGAGGUCUCAAGCGUCGUUCGGAUUCAUUGGGCGUAAAGGGUGCGUAGGCGGCGUCGUAAGUCGGAUGUGAAAUCUCGGGGCUCAACUCCGAAAUUGCAUUCGAUACUGCGAUGCUUGAGGACUGGAGAGGAGACUGGAAUUCACGGUGUAGCAGUGAAAUGCGUAGAUAUCGUGAGGAACACCUGUGGCGAAAGCGGCUUACUGGGUCUUUUCUGACGCUGAUGCACGAAAGCUAGGGGAGCAAACGGG
rnacentral:rRNA from 1 species